GAGAGAGGGGGGCAUGUUCCAGAACAAGGCAGGAGCUUUUGAGGCAGCCCUGAAGCAGGAGAGAGCCCAGUGUGUUGAAGACCUGAAAGAAUUUCUGGUGGCUGGCUUGAAGAGCAUGAGAAGUACAUAGUUGCAUAUUCUAGUUGUGGCUCCCUCUAGUUGUGGCACGUGGGACACCGCCUCAACAUGGCCUGACGAGUGGUACCAUGUCCACGCCCACCAUCCGAACCGGCAAAAACCUUGGCUGCCAAAGCAGAGCGUGCGAACUUAAUCACUCAGCCACGGAGCCAGCCCCACGACAGACCUUUUAAAAAAUAAUUUGAUACAAUUAUUACAGUAAUAAUACUGUACAGUAAUAAUACUGAGUGUUACAAGUAGAUACAGAGGUGGGUUUGUUUUGCAUUUGGGGACUGGUAAGACUUCCGUCCAUCUGCUGGGUUUCAGCAUGAAUAGUUCACCAGAAAAAAGGGACAAGAUCACACUGGUAACAAGUCAAGAGAGAGAACAGGAGUGCUUGGAGCUCAGGACAGAGUGAGCAGGCAGGAAAUGACCAAACAGAGGUAGGGUGGAGUUCACACUGAAAGGUCUCCUGGGUCAAGCCUGAGUCAACCUUGACUUCCCUUUGCCUCACAUCAUAUAUCCACACCGUCAUCAUGGCUCAAAUACAUAACCAGAAUCUGCCCAUUUCUCACCACCUCCAUUGCUACCACUCCAGCACCUGGUCUGAGUCAUCCUCAUAUCUCACCAGGCUUUUUGCAAGAACUUCCUUCUGCCCUUGCCUACCUACAGCCUGCUCUGGACAGAGCAGCCUGAGAGAGAGAGAGAGAGGGAGGGAG
rnacentral:lncRNA from 1 species